UACGUCCACAUCAUGUUGAAACGCUGGUUACCGCACGAUCACCGAACUUAAGCAACGUUGAGCCUGGUCAGUACCUAGAGAGGUGACUGCUUGGGAAUACCAAGUGCUGUAA